rnacentral:rRNA from 1 species
AGUGAACGCUGGCGGUAGGCCUAACACAUGCAAGUCGAACGGCAGCACAGUAAGAGCUUGCUCUUACGGGUGGCGAGUGGCGGACGGGUGAGGAAUACAUCGGAAUCUACUUUUUCGUGGGGGAUAACGUAGGGAAACUUACGCUAAUACCGCAUACGACCUACGGGUGAAAGCAGGGGAUCUUCGGACCUUGCGCGAUUGAAUGAGCCGAUGUCGGAUUAGCUAGUUGGCGGGGUAAAGGCCCACCAAGGCGACGAUCCGUAGCUGGUCUGAGAGGAUGAUCAGCCACACUGGAACUGAGACACGGUCCAGACUCCUACGGGAGGCAGCAGUGGGGAAUAUUGGACAAUGGGCGCAAGCCUGAUCCAGCCAUACCGCGUGGGUGAAGGCCUUCGGGUUGUAAAGCCCUUUUGUUGGGAAAGAAAAGCAGCAGGUUAAUACCCCGCUGUUCUGACGGUACCCAAAGAAUAAGCACCGGCUAACUUCGUG